AAGCCAAGUGUUGAUGCAAUAGAGUCAGCUCACGACAAAAUAAUAAUCUUAACUACAUUUAAAUGCUGAGAUUGUUGAGCAGGCGAAGAGGCGAGCUGAGAUGGCAAGGCUACUCUUGCUUCAUCAGAUAACAAGGCUAAAGACUUGGAUCAAGCGCAAUCUGGGAAACUAAAAACUGAAUCCUGUUGAUAUACAAAGAUUGGGAAAUGUGGAAACAGUAACUAACCAAAUAACAUCAGGAUCAUCGAUUGAAGAACGCAACAACAAUACAAAACCAAACUUGUUUAUUUAAAUCACCAAUACCUAUAGUGUACAUGUUGAUGCAAAGUCAAAGACUUUGUUUGUUUGUGCAAAUACAAGCAUCGGUGGAGAACUGAAGAGUCACGCUCAAAGGGUUCGAGGUCGGCGACGACAAUGACGCUGAAACCCCUACCCAUGAAUUAUAAGGCGGAAUACUUUGCUCACUCCUGAAAUAAUUCCCUGCAUCAACUUCCCUCUUAAUCCUUGCCAGCCUCUUGAAGUUCCCCUUGAAAUUCCUCUCCCCCCAAACCCUAGAGUCAUUAUAGCUGGGAAGAACCCUCUUGUUCCUCCCCAGAUCGAUGUCCUUGUAUCCGUAAUAAGAAGGCCUCGGGUUGCUUGUAAUGAAAUUACGCAUAAAUACCGAUAUGUUGUUCAUCA